CCCCCCGGCCCGGGAUAGCCCAGGGAAACCUGGAUUAAUACCGGAUGAGACGGGACCCGCGAAGGCGGGACCCGGAAAGGCGCUGCGGCGCCGCCGGGGGAUGAGUCUGCGUCCCAUUAGCUAGACGCGGGGUAACGGCCCACCGUGGCGACGAUGGGUAGCCGGCCUGAGAGGGUGACGGCCACAUUGGAACUGAGACACGGUCCAGACUCCUACGGGAGGCAGCAGCUAAGAAUCUUCCGCAAUGGGCGAAAGCCUGACGGAGCGAACCGCCGCGUGAACGAAGAAGGCCGUGAGGUUGUAAAGUUCUUUUCGGGAGGGGGAACAACCGUGGCAGGGAAUGGCCGCGGGAUGACGUGAAUCCCGGAAUAAGCCCCGGCUAACUACGUGCCAGCAGCUGC
rnacentral:rRNA from 1 species